AUGAACGCUGGCGGCGUGCCUAAUACAUGCACGUCGCGCGCACAGACGAGGAGCUUGCUCCUCUGACGUUAGCGGCGGACGGGUGAGUAACACGUGGAUAACCUACCUAUAAGACUGGGAUAACUUCGGGAAACCGGAGCUAAUACCGGAUAAUAUAUUGAACCGCAUGGUUCAAUAGUGAAAGACGGUUUUGCUGUCACUUAUAGAUGGAUCCGCGCCGCAUUAGCUAGUUGGUAAGGUAACGGCUUACCAAGGCAACGAUGCGUAGCCGACCUGAGAGGGUGAUCGGCCACACUGGAACUGAGACACGGUCCAGACUCCUACGGGAGGCAGCAGUAGGGAAUCUUCCGCAAUGGGCGAAAGCCUGACGGAGCAACGCCGCGUGAGUGAUGAAGGUCUUCGGAUCGUAAAACUCUGUUAUUAGGGAAGAACAAAUGUGUAAGUAACUAUGCACGUCUUGACGGUACCUAAUCAGAAAGCCACGGCUAACUACGU
rnacentral:rRNA from 1 species